rnacentral:rRNA from 1 species
GCAGUGGGAGCCCCACCACUAAGCCAGUGGUGAACUCCACAUACGCAUCCUUUGCUGAGGAUACGGUUAACGGAGCGAAAGCGACGUUCAACCGCAAAAGAAGCAGAGGGGGCUUAGUGGUGGGGUGACUGCGUACCUUUUGUAUAAUGGGUCAGCGACUUAUAUUCUGUAGCAAGGUUAACCGCAUAGGGGAGCCGGAGGGAAACCGAGUCUUAACCGGGCGUUAAGUUGCAGGGUAUAGACCCGAAACCCGGUGAUCUAGCCAUGGGCAGGUUGAAGGUUGGGUAACACUAACUGGAGGACCGAACCGACUAAUGUUGAAAAAUUAGCGGAUGACCUGUGGCUGGGGGUGAAAGGCCAAUCAAACCGGGAGAUAGCUGGUUCUCCCCGAAAGCUAUUUAGGUAGCGCCUCGUGAAUUCAUCUCCGGGGGUAGAGCACUGUUUCGGCUAGGGGGCCAUCCCGGCUUACCAACCCGAUGCAAACUGCGAAUACCGGAGAAUGUUAUCACGGGAGACACACGGCGGGUGCUAACGUCCGUCGUGAAGAGGGAAACAACCCAGACCGCCAGCUAAGGUCCCAAAGUCAUGGUUAAGUGGGAAACGAUGUGGGAAGGCCCAGACAGCCAGGAUGUUGGCUUAGAAGCAGCCAUCAUUUAAAGAAAGCGUAAUAGCUCACUGGUCGAGUCGGCCUGCGCGGAAGAUGUAACGGGGCUAAACCAUGCAC